UUUUGGCCAGAAAAACAAAGGUUUAGCAUUUAUUUCUCUCAGUCAGGAAAGUGAAAGAGAGAGACAGACAGAGGUAACUGCUGGAGCUCGGUGAAGGCCAAAAGUAAAUGCAGGAAAAAAAGAUGGCGUCCUAGUACAGUGCGAAGAUCUGGAGUCAGAGGACCUGCAUUCCCGUGUGUCACCCCUGUUCACUAUUUGCUGCCUGUGUGACCCUAGGCUGAGCUCAAGGACCACCUUCUACAUGAAAUGAAGCCUUUCCUGACUCUCCACCUGCUUGGGCAUUUUCCCUCAAUAGCUGUCUUUAUAUAUUUAACUUAUAUUUUGUACAGAAUGGUAUAUAGGUGUGUUCAUUUUUCCUGGUAGAAUGUAAGCUCCUUGAGGCCAGGGUCUAUUUUGCUGUUGACUUUGCAUCCCUAGAACCUAGCAUAGUGGCUGGAAUACAGUAGCCAUUUAAUAAAUCCCUCUUGAUGGAUUAUUUUUGCUUUAUUUGGGGGCAGCAAAGUGUGAUGUUGAACCUGCCAUUUGUCACAAGGCAGAUUGACACUACCAUGACUGUAAUGAUGGGAGAUAUAGGAAAGGAAAACAGAGAACGAAUUUCUUUGAAGCGCACGUGACUUAAAAAUCACUACAUUUUGUGAACGUCGGCGGGGAAGAAGUUGGAUGGAGAGAGUCUACAGAUGUGGGGAACCUGCUGCCUUACGGCCACAUGUGGCCUUAUAGAUCCUUGGCUGUGGCCCUU